UUACUACUUCCUCUGUCCGAAAAAACUUGUUCCAAACUUGUCUUUCAAAUGGAUGUAUCUAGCACCUACUUGGGGCUAGAUACAUCCAUUUGAGGGACAAGAUUUUUCGAACGGAGGGAGUAAUUA
rfam:Triticum urartu cultivar G1812 contig250137, whole genome shotgun sequence.